UACGUAGGGGGGCAAGCGUUGUCCGGAAUCAUUGGGCGUAAAGCGCGUGUAGGCGGCCCGGUAAGUCCGCUGUGAAAGUCCAGGGCUCAACCCUGGAAUGCCGGUGGAUACUGUCGGGCUCGAGUCCGGAAGAGGCGAGUGGAAUUCCUGGUGUAGCGGUGAAAUGCGCAGGAUAUCAGGAGGAACACCAAUGGCGAAGGCAGCUCGCUGGGACGGUACUGACGCUGAGACGCGAAAGCG
rnacentral:rRNA from 1 species